GGCCUCGUAGCUCAGUUGGCUAGAGCGUUGGCUGUACUAAAGCCUUCCCCUUGCUGGCGUGGGCUCAAAUCACACCGACGCCA
rnacentral:tRNA from 1 species